rnacentral:rRNA from 1 species
AGAGUUUGAUUCUGGCUCAGAACGAACGCUGGCGGCGUGGAUAAGACAUGCAAGUCGAACGAGAGAAUUGCUAGCUUGCUAAUAAUUCUCUAGUGGCGCACGGGUGAGUAACACGUGAGUAACCUGCCCCCGAGAGCGGGAUAGCCCUGGGAAACUGGGAUUAAUACCGCAUAGUAUCGAAAGAUUAAAGCAGCAAUGCGCUUGGGGAUGGGCUCGCGGCCUAUUAGUUAGUUGGUGAGGUAACGGCUCACCAAGGCGAUGACGGGUAGCCGGUCUGAGAGGAUGUCCGGCCACACUGGAACUGAGACACGGUCCAGACACCUACGGGUGGCAGCAGUCGAGAAUCAUUCACAAUGGGGGAAACCCUGAUGGUGCGACGCCGCGUGGGGGAAUGAAGGUCUUCGGAUUGUAAACCCCUGUCAUGUGGGAGCAAAUUAAAAAGAUAGUACCACAAGAGGAAGAGACGGCUAACUCUGUGCCAGCAGCCGCGGUAAUACAGAGGUCUCAAGCGUUGUUCGGAAUCACUGGGCGUAAAGCGUGCGUAGGCUGUUUCGUAAGUCGUGUGUGAAAGGCGCGGGCUCAACCCGCGGACGGCACAUGAUACUGCGAGACUAGAGUAAUGGAGGGGGAACCGGAAUUCUCGGUGUAGCAGUGAAAUGCGUAGAUAUCGAGAGGAACACUCGUGGCGAAGGCGGGUUCCUGGACAUUAACUGACGCUGAGGCACGAAGGCCAGGGGAGCGAAAGGGAUUAGAUACCCCUGUAGUCCUGGCAGUAAACGGUGCACGCUUGGUGUGCGGGGAAUCGACCCCCUGCGUGCCGGAGCUAACGCGUUAAGCGUGCCGCCUGGGGAGUACGGUCGCAAGAUUAAAACUCAAAGGAAUUGACGGGGACCCGCACAAGCGGUGGAGUAUGUGGUUUAAUUCGAUGCAACGCGAAGAACCUUACCUGGGCUUGACAUGUAAUGAACAACAUGUGAAAGCAUGCGACUCUUCGGAGGCGUUACACAGGUGCUGCAUGGCCGUCGUCAGCUCGUGUCGUGAGAUGUUUGGUUAAGUCCAGCAACGAGCGCAACCCCUGUUGCCAGUUACCAGCACGUGAAGGUGGGGACUCUGGCGAGACUGCCCAGAUCAACUGGGAGGAAGGUGGGGACGACGUCAGGUCAGUAUGGCCCUUAUGCCCAGGGCUGCACACGUACUACAAUGCCCAGUACAGAGGGGGCCGAAGCCGCGAGGCGGAGGAAAUCCUGAAAACUGGGCCCAGUUCGGACUGUAGGCUGCAACCCGCCUACACGAAGCCGGAAUCGCUAGUAAUGGCGCAUCAGCUACGGCGCCGUGAAUACGUUCCCGGGUCUUGUACACACCGCCCGUCACAUCAUGGAAGCCGGUCGCACCCGAAGUAUCUGAAGCCAACCGCAAGGAGGCAGGGUCCUAAGGUGAGACUGGUAACUGGGAUGAAGUCGUAACAAGGUAGCCGUAGGGGAACCUGCGG